UACAGAGGUCUCAAGCGUUUGUUCGGAUUCAUUGGGCGUAAAGGGUGUGUAGGUGGCGCCGUAAGUCGGGUGUGAAAUUUCGGAGCUUAACUCCGAAACUGCAUUCGAUACUGCGGUGCUUGAGGACUGGAGAGGAGACUGGAAUUCAUGGUGUAGCAGUGAAAUGCGUAGAGAUCAUGAGGAAGACCAGUGGCGAAGGCGGGUCUCUGGACAGUUCCGACACUGAGACACGAAGGCCAGGGGAGCAAACGGG
rnacentral:rRNA from 1 species